GGGGUAAAGGAUGAGAAAUUACUUAAUGGAUACCUUGACUAUGAAUAAUAGUUUCAAUAGGAAGACAAGAAUGGGUUCUGACAGGAAGGUUGGGAGCUGUGACAGGCAGAAGAAAAAUGAAGCCAAACAGCACAGAGAUGUCUUGAUGUUGUAAUAGUAACCAUAACACAGCCAACCAGGGCUUGUCUG